rnacentral:lncRNA from 1 species
UUGAAUCAAUCAAAAGAAACUAAGUGUCAAUGAUCAAUCCCAACAACUGAAGUGGAUCCAAUUCUUCAACUAGAGCUUUCUUAUUAUUUAUUUUUCUUUUAUUUUAUUAUUCGCUUAUUUUAAUUGUUUUCAGUAGUUUGUUAAUCAAAUCAAUCUCAAACCCCCCAUUUUACUUUUACUGCAAUUUAUUUUUAUUCCGCUUUCA